GGGCGCAUGGUUUAGUGGUAUAAUUCCUCUUUAGCACCUCAAGACCCUUUGGGUCCUAUGAAGUUAGAGGCGGUCCCUGGUUCGAUUCCUGGUGUGUCCA